rnacentral:rRNA from 1 species
AACUUGAGAGUUUGAUCCUGGCUCAGAACGAACGCUGGCGGCAGGCUUAACACAUGCAAGUCGAGCGCCCCGCAAGGGGAGCGGCAGACGGGUGAGUAACGCGUGGGAAUCUACCCAUCUCUACGGAACAACUCCGGGAAACUGGAGCUAAUACCGUAUACGUCCUUCGGGAGAAAGAUUUAUCGGAGAUGGAUGAGCCCGCGUUGGAUUAGCUAGUUGGUGGGGUAAUGGCCUACCAAGGCGACGAUCCAUAGCUGGUCUGAGAGGAUGAUCAGCCACACUGGGACUGAGACACGGCCCAGACUCCUACGGGAGGCAGCAGUGGGGAAUAUUGGACAAUGGGCGAAAGCCUGAUCCAGCCAUGCCGCGUGAGUGAUGAAGGCCCUAGGGUUGUAAAGCUCUUUCA